GAAUUAUGUUAAGGAGAGGAAGCUCAGUUGCCUGCAGUGAGAGAUAAUUGGAGUAAAAUAGAACUGGGCUGACAUUCUGCUAAUUUUCUCAUCGAUUUAACAUUUGAUCUCAAUACAGUUUUCUGUUCUCAAAACUAGAAUAUUUUACAAACAGAUUCAGUGAAGGUUUUGUAGACUUUACCCUUUACCAAAGCUUUAAAAAGUUUUAACCACCUCCGAUAAUCCAUGAAGGAACGUGUCGAACAGGGAUUCCGGGUUCCAGGCACUCUCCGUGGCAACAGUGCAAAGAAAACACAGCAUAGUCUGCCACACUAUAGGAGUCUUGUCGCAGUUGAAGUGGCUUCCGAGCAGCCUCUCCUGGACAACGGAGAAUUGAACACUUUUCUUACCUCCACCACAAACUCCUCAGGCUGAGGCAAACGGUGGAUUGUUGCGCCCAGGAGUGCUUUCCCGGACAUGAGUGAUAACAGGUACGCUAUCUUCGAGCGAUCCGAGGGAAAUUAAAAAGGCUGCAGCUCGAAGAUGAGGGAACACUGGGAGAGAAACGCCCGGCAGGUUUCUGGAUCUCCAACAUAGCGUUCUGGAGACAAAUAAUUAGUAGUAAAACUUUUGGUCUGAAUUUUGAUGUCGCCAGAUUGACUUUAGUUGCAGUGUAGCGUUAGUUAGCUAGCUAUAAUAAAUGGGAGACCUCCAGAUUUUAGCUAGCAAAUGUUAUCAUUGCUAGCUAACUUUGACUAACUUUGCUAAUGACAACAUUGCCAUCUGUCUAAAGUACAUUUCACAACAUGCUGAUGAUGAUGAUGGCAAAGUUGUUUCCUACUAAAUAUGUAAAGAAUUUAGCAAUGGCGUCAUAUUCCUAAACCCCUAUAGUGUAAUGUAGAUGAAACAGACAUUAUCCCCGGUUUAAAGUCAUUAGCCCCAUUCUACUUUGGAGCGUCAGUAUGGAUGCGGCGUCUGUAGAACAUUGAUAACAAUGGCAACAACGCAACGGAGUGACGGAGGUGCAACCCAUGUAUAAGUACACAUUAGUUACAGGUGUGGCGUUAAACCUGGAGAAGUGGAACCAGCUGAAGAAGAUAAUCCGAGACAUUGACACUGUGAUCCCGAAGAUCUAGACCCCCCACGGUGCCCAGUGAGCAGCCAUGACAGCCCAGAUCGAUUCCCCUCUACACAAGCGAACCUGUUGUCACUGACAGUAUAUCACUUUAUUUAAUCCACUGUUAAAUGGCUUUAACAUCCUGCAGAUAUGUUCAAUUAAAGCUCUUUGUUUUACAUUCCUCACUUUACAAAAUAGCUGUCUGUUCUGCAUUUAAAUUCUGUAUUGUUUUAUUUGUUAGUUGGCUUUAUAAGCCAUGGCUUUAGUUGCAAAGAACAGAUGUAUUUUCUGUGUAAGUGUUCUUGACAGCAUUUGUAAAUAGAGAGGACAAAUUAAUGAAGCCUAUAUGAAGUUAGUCGGGGUAGGUUUUUGUUAAAUAAUAGUAUGGUAGCCUGCACUAUCCAUUCAUCUUUGGAAAUGCAUACGUUUCUUGAAGUAACACACAGACUAAAAAACCUUUCUCCAUUAUUACUUUGCUCAUUUUCUCCCAUUAUCUGUUGAGUAAUCAGAUGCAUGGAUUAUGAUCUGAUCAUGGUUUUUAAUGGGGAAGAGCUGCUUUGGUGGUUCAGAAAUAUAUCCCACUAAUUACCAGACUGUAGACAGCAGUGGAAGCUGGUGGGAGGAGCUAUAGGAGGACAGGAUCAUUGUAAUGGCUGGAAUGGAAUUAAUGGAACGGUAUCAAACAUAUGGAAACACCAUGUUUGACUCUCCCAUUGAUUCCAUUCCAGCCAUUACAAUGAGCCUGUCCUCCUAUAGCUCCUCUCAUCAGCCUCCACUGGUAGAUAGUGUAAUGUUCAUUGUUACAUGCUGUUUGACACUGUAGUUAACUGAAGCCGCCUCUUAUAUUCCAGAAGAGAGAGCAAGAAGUCAAUGGAUUGAACACUGCAACUAACAAUGCAAGACCAUCAAGACAAUUAGCAAUAAAUGGGGACAAAAUAAAGGAAUGAUAGUAUGGAAAUAAAGUGGGAAGUUUUCACUUUGAGGGUAAUAGUAUGGAAAUAAAGUGGGAAGUUUUAACUUUGAGGGUAAUAGUAUGGAAAUAAAGUGGGAAGUUUUAACUUUGAGGGUGAUAGUAUGGAAAUAAAGUGGGAAGUUUUACACACAUAUUUAUUUGCAUCGAAAGAUGCUGCAGGUCUUGUCCUGGAGGUUUAAAGCAGUAUGUAGCCUAUUGGAAACAACGUGUAAGCAAAUAAAAAAAUAUUAAUUUAAAGGACAGUACCAUAUUGUAUCAUACAGUGCUCCACUGGUGUCAGAGUGGGAUGAAACUACUGAGAGGCCAUCAAAGGCAUGCCUGGCUGUAAGGGACUUGAGAUAAAGAAGCAUAGUGGCCUGUUUUCUGGAAGAAUUGGGUAGUUUAGAAAAGGAAGGAGGUGGCCCCAAACUUCUCCAAGCAGGUUGGGCAAUGCAAAGAAUUUGCACUCUGAUGGUGCAGUAUCAUACCGACAUCUGUGGGUGUCGCUCAAGAGCGGUGAAUGAAUAUGGCUCAAGAGCGGUGAAUAUGGCUAUCGCUUUCGUGUAGUCGUUCUCCCCCCAAUCAGCCCCUCUCUCUCGUACUAUGUUGUGUGCGAGUGUGUCGGAUUACCGUUCUCCUGGCAGCAGGAUAUUACACUUUUUUUUCCUUCAAAAUAAGAGUCCCCCUACAAAUACAUACUACUUUUUGGGAAUAUCGAUUUUCUUGGCGUGACUGUAGUAAAACAACUGUUUUUCAAAGUAUUGCAGCCACCUUUAAAAAAAGUGAUAAUUUGAUGUACUUUCAUUUUAAUAUUGUAUUAUUUAUAUCAGCAUUUCUUAAGAGAGUUUACACAAAUACUGGUAUGUUCAUAGGUAUUGUGUUGGUUAUAUUACAAAUAAUAUGUAAUUCAAAUUACUCAAUAGAGUCUACAAACCUUAAAUUGUGCUGUGCAAGGGGUUCAAUAUAGAGUGCUGGGGACUCCUUACUCCAUUCACUGCAAUGCAAUAGACUGUAGGACUAUAAAUUACAUAUUGGCUUAUAGAGAAAAAAACGACUCUGUGCUGAUGUAAAAGUGGGGUUGGGAAUACUCAGUAGGGUCUGUAGAAUCUAUAUAUGGUGUUAUUUCUUGGGGG
rnacentral:lncRNA from 1 species